CCAUCGUCCGCACAUGCCUUCUC
rnacentral:piRNA from 1 species